CAUCGCCGCGGUAAUACAGAGGGUGCGAGCGUUAAUCGGAUUUACUGGGCGUAAAGCGUGCGUAGGCGGCUUCUUAAGUCGGAUGUGAAAUCCCUGAGCUUAACUUAGGAAUUGCAUUCGAUACUGGGAAGCUAGAGUAUGGGAGAGGAUGGUAGAAUUCCAGGUGUAGCGGUGAAAUGCGUAGAGAUCUGGAGGAAUACCGAUGGCGAAGGCAGCCAUCUGGCCUAAUACUGACGCUGAGGUACGAAAGCAUGGGGAGCAAACAGGAUUAGAUACCCCCGUAGUCCCUGUCUCUUAUACA
rnacentral:rRNA from 1 species